UACGGGGGGAGCAAGCGUUGUUCGGAAUUACUGGGCGUAAAGGGCGCGUAGGCGGCCCGCUAAGUCGAACGUGAAAUCCCCGAGCUCAACUCGGGAACUGCGUCCGAUACUGGCGGGCUUGAAUCCGGGAGAGGGAUGCGGAAUUCCAGGUGUAGCGGUGAAAUGCGUAGAUAUCUGGAGGAACACCGGUGGCGAAGGCGGCAUCCUGGACCGGCAUUGACGCUGAGGCGCGAAAGCUAGGGGAGCAAACGGG
rnacentral:rRNA from 1 species